rnacentral:SRP_RNA from 1 species
GGCCGAGUCCGCGCGAUUUCAUACCGUGAACCGUGUCAGAUGGGGAACCAAGCAGCACUAAGCGGAUCUUGAGAUGUGUUGCGGGCAGCUCGGCCGGA